CCCUUAGAUGUUCUGGGCUGCACGCGCGCUACACUGAUGCAUGCAACGAGUUUUCGACCUUGCCUGAAAAGGUUGGGUAAUCUGUUUAACAUGUGUCGUGAUGGGGAUAGACCAUUGCAAUUAUUGAUCUUCAACGAGGAAUUCCUAGUAAGCGCGAGUCAUCAGCUCGUGCUGAUUAUGUCCCUGCCCUUUGUACACACCGCCCGUCGCUCUUACCGAUUGAGUGAUCCGGUGAAUGAUUCGGACCAGCGUGCUGCUCAGAUCCUGCGCAGUGUGCUGGGAAGUCUAGUGAACCUUAUCACUUAGAGGAAGGAGAAGUCGUAACA
rnacentral:rRNA from 1 species